rnacentral:misc_RNA from 1 species
CGAUGACAUCCUCUGCCUCGUAUGCUAUUCUCUGAUUUCAGCUAUGCAAUUGCGAACACGCUCAUCUUGAUCCUGCUUGCUGUCUGCAUCUUUCAAGAAGCACUGAAUCCGCUUCAAUUCAGUUUUCAACUGCUCAACUUCAUCCCUCACACCAUAAAAUGAGCUUGCUUCAUGAACCACUGCAUCAGCAAUUCUUUCAAUGGCAAAGGAAACAAUAGCCUCGACCAA